GAUGAAGAACGUAGCGAAAUGCGAUAAGUAAUGUGAAUUGCAGAAUUCAGUGAAUCAUCGAAUCUUUGAACGCGCAUUGCGCCUGCCAGUAUUCUGGCGGGCAUGCCUGUUCGAGCGUCAUUUCAACCAUCAAGCCCCAGGCUUGUGUUGGGGACCUGCGGCUGCCGCAGGCCCUGAAAACCAGUGGCGGGCUCGCUGUCACACCGGGCGUAGUAGAUUUUAUCUCGCUCAGGGCGUGCUGCGGGUUCCGGCCGUUAAAAAGCCUUUUUUACCCAAGGUUGACCUCGGAUCAGGUAGGAAGACCCGCUGAACUUAAGCAUAUCAAUAAGCGGAGGA
rnacentral:misc_RNA from 1 species